rnacentral:lncRNA from 1 species
CUAGUUACUUAUCUUUCCAGGUUGUCAAACCAGACGGGUGUCUUCCUCAAAUAAACCUGGCCUAAGGGCGCUAGUGAUUCUUAACCACUGCAACGACAUGGGUUGUUUUUGUCCAUAUCCUCGAGUUCGACUACCGCACGUAAUGUACAUGUCAAGAGAGCCAAUGUCCAUGAAGCCUCAAUAGGAAUCAACCACCACCAGACCGCAAGCCGGAAUGACGGGGAUCCGUCACAGGCAUCAAAUUCAUGCUCCUCACACUCUCCAUCGCCCUCACCAUUUUCCUAUCAGCCCUCAAUUCAACCUUCCACAACCGCCGAAUU